rnacentral:rRNA from 1 species
AUUGAACGCUGGCGGCAGGCUUAACACAUGCAAGUCGAGCGGGGUGAUGGUGCUUGCACUAUCACUUAGCGGCGGACGGGUGAGUAAUGUUUAGGAAUCUGCCUAUUAGUGGGGGACAACAUCUCGAAAGGGAUGCUAAUACCGCAUACGUCCUACGGGAGAAAGCAGGGGAUCACUUGUGACCUUGCGCUAAUAGAUGAGCCUAAGUCGGAUUAGCUAGUUGGUGGGGUAAAGGCCUACCAAGGCGACGAUCUGUAGCGGGUCUGAGAGGAUGAUCCGCCACACUGGGACUGAGACACGGCCCAGACUCCUACGGGAGGCAGCAGUGGGGAAUAUUGGACAAUGGGGGGAACCCUGAUCCAGCCAUGCCGCGUGUGUGAAGAAGGCCUUAUGGUUGUAAAGCACUUUAAGCGAGGAGGAGGCUCUUUUGGUUAAUACCCAAGAUGAGUGGACGUUACUCGCAGAAUAAGCACCGGCUAACUCUGUGCCAGCAGCCGCCGCAG